CUUGGCUCUCACUGGCAUUGUGAGUGAGGUCAUAGAGGGAGGGGACCAUGGAGAAGACCUCUAGGAGGGCAGCAGUAAAACACGCCAUCGGGAGGCAGGAGAGGACCCUUGAGUCAUGGGGUCCUUGGCAGCUGUCUUUGAGAGGGCUCAUAGAAACACGGAAAUCUAAGCAAUGCGAGUAUGAGAGGUGAUUCCUACUCUGGAAAUGGGAGGAAAUGGAAAUAAGAGAGAUGGAAAAUCAAGAUGAAGUUCAGUGGCUUAUGGCUCCAGCUCAACAGUGUCUCCCAUUCUCCUGACUUUCUCUUCAUGGUCACCAGAAGACUGCAGGGGACAUCAGUGAAGAAAGGGCAUGUCUCUUCUCCCAUGUCCUUUUUAAGAGCAAUCCUUUUCUCCCCCAAGGAAUCCGGGCCAUCUCUCCAAGCUCCCCUGUGGUUAAUGUUACUGUGGUUCUGUAUAUGUGUCCUCACUCCAGGAGACCACUUCAAUUUCUGUGAGGUUCCUUCCUUUAGACCUACCAGUCCUGGAUGAACCUGUCAAUCAAAAAAUAUUGCCUGCUGUGUCAGUUAACCAAGGAUGUUGCAGCCCUCAAGCCACCUCAGACUGACAGUGAGCCCUGAGAGAACUCAGGGUGGAAUCAAGAGGACUGCCAAGCCCUCAGCCCCUGCAGCCACGCCCUCGACAAUGGUGCACCCUGAAGAGACUCAGGAUGGGAAAGGAAAGCACAGGAUACUGCACCUGGAUAGCUGAGGUGUGUGUCAAAGGAAUGGUUUCAGUGAGCUCAGACUCUCGCAUCUUCCCUUGCGCAGAGGAGCGCUAAGUUCCUUAACUUGAGAACCCUGGUUUUCUUGAAUUAACAGUAAUCAUUUGAUGUCCUGACUUCCUUGUCUUUGUUGCAAAAACUCCUAUAUAUCCUAGUUUCUCC
ensembl:lncRNA